rnacentral:rRNA from 1 species
UACGGAGGGUGCAAGCGUUAAUCGGAAUUAUUGGGCGUAAAGAGCUCGUAGGCGGCCUGUUGCGUCCGCUGUGAAAUCCCGGGGCUCAACCCUGGGCGUGCAGUGGAUACGGGCAGGCUAGAGGUAGGUAGGGGAGAAUGGAAUUCCCGGUGUAGCGGUGAAAUGCGCAGAUAUCGGAAGGAACACCGGUGGCGAAGGCGGUUCUCUGGGCCUUACCUGACGCUGAGGAGCGAAAGCGUGGGGAGCGAACAGG